rnacentral:lncRNA from 1 species
GGCCUCAGAAAAUGAUGUUUCUGCUUUCCUUUGCCCUGUCUUGAUGAUCAAAGAGGGUGUUAGGAGCCCAGCUGAACCGGAAGUAAAAUGGCCUGUGACUCAGAACCAGUCCUGAGUGAUGCAUUCCUAACACGAGUGAACUCAACAAAGGACAUGAGUAGAUCCGAGAAGCACCAAGAAUGAUUGUAGCUGAUGCCUUUGCUUCCCAUCAGCUAUCCUCUCAGGUCUCAUUGUUCCCAGACACACCUGCAGGAAAACACGAUAGAGAAAGACACAGAGGGCCCCCAAGCUGCAGAUCCUGCCAGAAUUCUAAGGCGUUUUACGUGAACUACAUGAAGAAGUCGACAAGACCAACGAUAUUUAUAAGUGUUCUCUGUUGUAAGAUAGAUUUUGAUAUAAUUAACAACAGUUCUGAGAAAACGGGCAGGACGUUUGAGGAAACAGGCAGGAGAGGACAACUGGCUGGAAAGAGGCAGAUGAAGAGUUCCAUCUGGCAAAGAUAGAGCACAAAAGAUGAUCUGGGUCACAUUUUGGAGCUAUUGAUUAAAAGGUAACCAACAAAUACUAACAGAUUUCCCACUCAGAAGAGGGAGAUUUACUUAUUUUGGCCCAGAGGCUAAAGUCAAGGCUAUAGGUGGCUCUCCGUGGACUCCUCUGGAACAUUGUGGAUGGGAAAAUAAGCAGUACUCGUGGAGGUAAUGUGUCAGGCAAGGCUCGUCUCGGGCAACAACCACUUUCCUCUGCAGUGACCCCCAUUUCGCUUGUGGAUCAAAAAGACGUAGCCAGGAAAAGUGAGGACUGGGACUGGGCACCCGGGGUGGGGCCGAGCUGAGCCAUCGAUCAGAAGGAACACAAGUACAGUCCACACAGGGCAGUUCUGCAGCAUUUGCUCUCCAGCCUUUUGCUUCCUCUGACUGCAUUCAUCGUUGCCUUACCAGGGGUUAGAUCAAUCUAUUGCCUUUAAAGCUUGUGGUAAAGCAUCUCUUUUGAAGAAUGUGCUCUGAGGGAGAGAUCAUACUUCUUUAAAACCACCUUCUGUCGGUCUGUUUGUCCAAUGCAGGUUUCCCAGAUGCCUCAUUAGACUUUCAUUCCAAGAGCUGGCUUUCAGACCACAUUGAGCAAAUCCUCUUAAAGGUGUUAGUUGGCAUAUCAUCUUGUUAGAAGUUUCUAGAGAAGAGAAAAGUCUACUAAAUUCAGAGACAUUCUUUCCUAAUAUUGGAAUUCAAGCACCGUGACAAGUCUAUGAGAGAGAGAAAUUGUUCUCGAAGCCUGCCAUACCCAAAACGGUUUAGACUGCUUUCACAUUCCGAUACUCGACUAAAGAGUUAAUGAAGACUGUGCCUUAGCACCGGUGGUAUUUAUUUAACGUGCACUGUAAUCCCAGCUGACACUUCCUAAUGAGUUUAUUGCUGCUGUGGAGUUAAAGCUCCCCCACUCAAUAAGCAUAAACUUGAGUGUCAAAAAUGAAACAUAGUCGGCCCUGGUGCUUAAAUGGCCUGUAUCGAUCCUCCGGCAGUCUAACUGCUGUAGUCUGGUGCCAGUUCUCUAAUUUGUGCCCUGAAGUGUGCAGCCACACUUGAUUUAGAUGUCAGAAUGGGGCAGCACUCAGUUUGAGAAAUCAGCUGAAACAUUCUUAAAAAAAUUGGUCUGGAUAGCUUCACCUUGCAUUGUCAAGAUCAUUGCUCUCGUGUAAACAAGGGGCUAAAUAAUAUCAUUCCCAUAGACUUUUUUGAGGGUGUUUUAUCAAAGGAAAUGUCCUCAGAGUCAAAGCUUGCUGUGUUUUGUGCUUUAUCUGUACAGAAAAUUCCAUUUAGAGAAAUUUAAUGCCAAAGCUGUAAGAUCUGCAUUCCUAGAGAAUGACUGUUUAGGGCAUUGUCUUUGAAUAUGAAGUAAACACACACUGAGAAUGUUUGUAUGAGGUUCUUUCAAUGGCCAAGAUAUGCUCACUAUUCCUAGGAGUCAAAAGGACUCAGACAACUUAAAGAUGUGUGGCAUCUGCAAAACACCCCUAUGUUCAUAGCUAUAUUCCUGUCUCAGAGAAAUCAUCUGCCAUUUCCAAUGACAUCAAAGACGGUGGUUGAAGAGCUGACAGCAGGAAGGUCAGCCAAAUUUCUACUUAACACUGGCAAAACACGAGAGAAGCUCAUGAUCUCCUUCAAAGUUCAAAUGAAAAAUUCAAACGCUUAGAAUUAUAAUCUCGACUUCAGAAGAGACUUAUAGGUCAACUACUUGUUAUGACAAAAGAAAUACGUGCCCCGCCAAAAAACUGAAGUCAACUUGUCCAAGGUAAAGAGCUUGCCAAGAGGUAAGGAAAGGACUCCAAUUCAAGUCCUGGUCCCCAAACUUUGUCUAGUAGGUCGACUUUUUACUAGAAUGGCGUGCAUUUUACUUUAAUCACAUAACUUCCAGGGAAAGGGUCUUCACUUUCUUUUUGUUGAAGUUUGAUAUUGUUACAGUCUACAGGUUUCCUUCAGUUUUCUUGACACAUGAGAUACUUUGAUAACUGUUCUUUACCCUAAAAUAUUUGAUCGUAUACAGUGUCAUGUAAAUGCACAGUGUCAGUUUUAAUCCACCCUCUCGGCAGUCAGCAAACUUGUAACCAGAAAACCGGAAGCUACAACUGCUCGGGUGAUCAAUAGUACAGGUUUUUUGAAAUAGAACAACUGAGUAUUAGAAAUGGAUUUCUUUGGUUAAAGUAAUGACUAAUCACCUAGCAUAAUAGGUGCCAGAAAUAAGUUCUCCAUGACGAAUGGUUUUCAAGCUUCAUGGUUAGGCUAAAAUAGUUUAGGGACACUCCACAUUUGCACAAGAAGGGUACAGGAAUAUUGCAGAUUCUUUAAAUUUACCCUUGAAAAGGGCACCUGAGCCUGUAUUCUCAAGUUGUCCUGCAUCCAGACGAGUCAGUUAUAAGCUUGAUGAAUCUCGCUUCAGAAUUCUUUCAUCAGCCACAAGUAAAUCGGUCAUUCAGGGUGUGGUCAGGGCAUCUAAAAGGAGAGAGGAUAUCUAGGAGGACCGAAGGUCCUGGUUUGCUUGGGACUGAGAAGUUUCCUGGACUGAUGAGUUCCAUGCUGCCUGGACCGAGGACAAUCCCGAGCAAGCUGGGACCAUUGGUACCUUACUCUGCGGUUCUGUGAAUUGCUAGGUUGCCUGUUUGCUGGUAAAUGAUGAUCUGUGUGUGAGAAUUUGGUCUGACACUUGCUUUAAUUUUACAAAUUACCUGAUAAUUUCGUUGAGGGAAACCUUAUAUUUAUAACACCUAUUCCUCACUGUGGGUGCAACCAGUAUAUUUUUUAAAAACCUGGUGGUUUUGUGGCCGAAUUGACCUAGGGGCAUAUGCAACAGAUUGAGAGGGGUGGAGAACACAUUUUACGUCAUACUGGUCUGGAUAUUUGUGUACCUAUAAAGUCAUAUAAAUGAAACCCUACACAAACACAAACAAAAUGCAAAAACAUACAUAUACGUAACCUGUAAGAAAGAGGCAAAAAUUAUCUUAUGAUCUUGUGGCUAGCAGCCAUCAAAACCUUAACUCUUUAUAUUAUAUUGUAUUUAUAAAAAGUUUUAUAUUCUAAAAAGUUUAUAUUAUAAAUUUAUAUUAUAAAAAGUCUGUACAUGGAGGGAAACUUCAAGGGUCACACCAAGCAAGAUCUUGAGAAUUGUUCGAAAUGACUGAAAACCCCUUCACCCAGGUGUACAUUUACGAGACUACACUUAACCAUGACGAGCAGUUUACUAAUGUAUAGAAUAAUCUAUAGAUUCUAUAGAAUCACUGUCAUGUACACCCGAAACUAAUAUAUCAUUGCAUGUCAACUAUACUGGCUUUAAAAUUAAAUGUGAAAAAUAAAAAAAUGACUGAAACAAAGAUAGUAAAAACA